UACCGUAUUUACUCGUUUGAGCGCCGCGGCGCUCUUUAAAUUUUCAAAGCUUCAGAUGCGGCGCUCAAUCGGGGGCGGCGCUCUUUAAAAAGUCUUUUAUUUGUGAACUAUAACAAGAACUUUUAACAAUGAAAUAAACAAGUUUGAAAUGUCUUUGUCACUAAAUGUCCCCAUUUUGACGGCGAAAAGUUUUUACACUGUUUAGUGCGGCGCUCAUUCGGGGGCGGCGUUCUUUAAAAAAAAUUGAUCUCAAAUGCGGCGCUUAUUCGGGGGCGGCGCUCAAUCGGGGGCGGCGCUCAAUCGAGUAAAUACGGUA
rnacentral:lncRNA from 1 species